rnacentral:piRNA from 1 species
UUCAAGUUUCAGGUCUUUUGAUCUAUUUGA